UGGUAGUUCUGGUACUGCUGGACCUCCUCUGCGUCAGGCGCGUACAGCAGGAGCUGCUUGAUGUGAGAGGACUCCAGGCGGUCGCUCUCCAUUGUCAUGAGAAUUUGGCGCAGCUCGAUGUGCGAGAGCUUGAGUGCACAGGGGAUGGAGGACACCUCACAGCAUUCCCAUGCAGGAGCCCGGCAGAAUGGUGACCUGUCACUCUACUGAAUGCUAGGCAGCAGGGCCAAGCUAAGUGUCCACUUGCAUUCCUUGGAUUCAAGGGGGAGUGGCCAAGUUGUCUGGGGUCACAGUCCAGCCCUCCCCCCUCCCCCAUCUAUGUGCCUGCUGGGGCCUCAUCCAGAGGCAGGCUCUGGGGCAAUGCACACCGAUCCAUACUGGAGCAGUUGUAAAGAUCAGCUGAGUGUGCUGCCCUCAGGUGCUUCUGGUCAUGUUCGGCAGCGUCCUCUGCUUUGCACCUCCUCCCUGCCUGCCACUCUCCACAAUGCAGGGAGAAAAGCCUCAUUCCUGGGGCUGCCCCAUUAUCUGGAGCGCUAUCCACCCCACUCCACGCCAGUGAGUCACAGCCCAUCUUUAUAGUUCUCCUUCAAGCCUUCCUCUCGUUAGCUUAAGGCUGACUGUCUCUGCUGGCCUACAAAGGACACUGUAUUGCAGUGGUCUCUAUUGUCCUGUACUGACCACUGCACCCAGCCAAGCUGGGAUGUACCUAUUUAUCUUUGCUCUCUUUUUACCUUUCCAGUUCUCUAUACUGCCAGGUACUGCCGUUCCAUCUCAGGACCUGUUUAGGGUUUUGCUUCCACUCUGACAUUUUACUUACAUGUGUUGUAGGCCUUUUUGUGAGACAAAAUUUCAACCACGUCUUUCUUUUUAAAGGAUUCAGGCAACAGAGUUGGCUCUGGAAGAGAAACUGAAAGAUUUAAUCAGAUGUAAGGACGGGCUCAGUUGACUCCAGCACCGAGGAAACUGGGCUGAAAACAGUGAGAUAAUGAAUGAGAGUGAGGAGACAUGAUGCUUUGGGCACAGGAAUGGCUCCGGGAAUCCUUGAAUUCUGUAAUUCAAAGAUCUCCUGAAUGGAAGACUCACGCUGAGCUGAAAAAGGUAAAACAAGAGGUUUAUGAGUUCCAAAAUGAAGCUCCAGGUCGAGGUAUUUGACCAUAUCACUCAGUUUGUCAUAAUCUGAGUCUUCUCCAAGCUGCAGGAGGAGGAAUAUAGUCAGUAAGACCCUGUCCCAGGAGAUCUCCAUGCUGCACAUCCCCAUUCUGCGCUGCAUU